rnacentral:rRNA from 1 species
AUUGAACGCUGGCGGCAUGCUUUACACAUGCAAGUCGAACGGUAACAGGGUGCUUGCACCGCUGACGAGUGGCGAACGGGUGAGUAAUGCGUCGGAACGUGCCGAGUAGUGGGGGAUAACGCAGCGAAAGUUGUGCUAAUACCGCAUACGUACUGAGGUAGAAAGCGGGGGACCUUCGGGCCUCACGCUAUUCGAGCGGCCGACGUCUGAUUAGCUAGUAGGUGAGGUAAAGGCUCACCUAGGCGACGAUCAGUAGCGGGUCUGAGAGGAUGAUCCGCCACACUGGGACUGAGACACGGCCCAGACUCCUACGGGAGGCAGCAGUGGGGAAUUUUGGACAAUGGGCGAAAGCCUGAUCCAGCCAUGCCGCGUGUCUGAAGGAGGCCUUCGGGUUGUAAAGGACUUUUGUCGGGGAGGAAAUCCCCAGCGUUAAUACCGCUGGGGGAUGACAGUACCUGAAGAAUAAGCACCGGCUAACUACGUGCCAGCAGCCGCCGUAA